rnacentral:rRNA from 1 species
AAGCGGAGGAAAAGAAACUAACAAGGAUUCCCCUAGUAGCGGCGAGCGAAGCGGGAAAAGCUCAAAUUUGUAAUCUGGCGUCUACGACGUCCGAGUUGUAAUCUCGAGAAGUGUUUUCCGUGAUAGACCGCAUACAAGUCUCUUGGAACAGAGCGUCAUAGUGGUGAGAACCCAGUACACGAUGCGGAUGCCUAUUACUUUGUGAUACACUUUCGAAGAGUCGAGUUGUUUGGGAAUGCAGCUCAAAUUGGGUGGUAAAUUCCAUCUAAAGCUAAAUAUUGGCGAGAGACCGAUAGCGAACAAGUACCGUGAGGGAAAGAUGAAAAGCACUUUGGAAAGAGAGUUAACAGUACGUGAAAUUGUUGGAAGGGAAACACAUGCAGCCAGACUUGCUAUUCGGGGCAACUCGAUUGGCAGGCCCGCAUCAGUUUUUCGGGGCGGAAAAGCAUAGAGAGAAGGUAGCAAUUUCGGUUGUGUUAUAGCUCUUUAUUGGAUUCGCCCUGGGGGACUGAGGAACGCAGCGUGCUUUUAGCAUAACCUUCGGGUUAUCCACGCUUAGGAUGCGGGUGUAAUGGCUGUAUAUGACCCGUCUUGAAACACGGACCAAGGAGUCUAACAUGCUUGCGAGUAUUUGGGUGUCAAACCCGGAUGCGCAAUGAAAGUGAAUGGAGGUGGGAAGCGCAAGCUGCACCAUCGACCGAUCUGGAUUUUUUAAGAUGGAUUUGAGUAAGAGCAAGUAUGUUGGGACCCGAAAGAUGGUGAACUAUGCCUGAAUAGGGCGAAGCCAGAGGAAACUCUGGUGGAGGCUCGUAGCGGUUCUGACGUGCAAAUCGAUCGUCAAAUUUGGGUAUAGGGGCGAAAGACUAAUCGAACCA